AGAGUUUGAUCAUGGCUCAGGACGAACGCUGGCGGCGUGCCUAACACAUGCAAGUCGUACGGGCUUGGGGGGCAACUCUCAAGUCAGUGGCGAACGGGUGCGUAACACGUGAGCAACUUACCCUACGGUGGGGGAUAGCCGGCCCAACGGCCGGGUAAUACCGCAUAUGGCAUCGAGGUCACAUGGCCUUGAUGGGAAAGCGGCCGCAAGGUCGCGCCAGAGGAGGGGCUCGCGGCGUAUCAGCUAGUUGGCGGGGUAACGGCCCACCAAGGCUACGACGCGUAGCUGGUCUGAGAGGAUGGCCAGCCACAUUGGGACUGAGAUACGGCCCAGACUCCUACGGGAGGCAGCAGUGGGGAAUAUUGCGCAAUGGCCGAAAGGCUGACGCAGCGACGCCGCGUGUGGGAUGAAGGCCUUCGGGUUGUAAACCACUGUCGGGGGGGGCGAAUACUCGGCUUCGAAUAGGAGACCGAGGGUGACGGUACCCCCAAAGGAAGCACCGGCUAACUCCGUGCCAGCAGCCGCGGUAAUACGGAGGGUGCGAGCGUUGUCCGGAAUCACUGGGCGUAAAGGGCGCGUAGGCGGCCGUGUAAGUCACUUGUGAAAUCCCGGGGCUCAACUCCGGGGCUGCAGGUGAGACUGCGUGGCUAGAGCACGGUAGAGGCGAGUGGAAUUCCCGGUGUAGCGGUGGAAUGCGUAGAUAUCGGGAAGAACACCGGUGGCGAACGCGGCUCGCUGGGCCGUUGCUGACGCUGAGGCGCGAAAGCGUGGGGAGCAAACAGGAUUAGAUACCCUGGUAGUCUACGCCGUAACGAUGGGUACUAGGCGUCGGGGGGAGCGACCCCCUCGGCGCCGUCGCUAACGCAAUAAGUACCCCGCCUGGGGAGUACGGUCGCAAGACUGAAACUCA
rnacentral:rRNA from 1 species